CAGGGACCUUACCUCCAGUCUGGUCACUUAAAUUUCCAAAUAAGCCGGCGCCCCGAGAGCAAUGCUCGACCAGGGACCUUUACUCCGGCAACCACACUCUACUAAGCCCAGAGAGCGAUGCUCGACCAGGGCAGGUCCUAAUCUUUCUUUCUUAAAUUUUUUUACCUCUUUACCCUUUCCCUAUCUCUCUCAGAUUAUAUUGGGACACUCAUCCAACUCCUAUGUUCUACUGCCGUCCCAUCCUGAGUCAUCAUGCAAUAUUAAAAUUGGUAAUAAAGGAAAAACAUAUUUAAAUAGUAAUUAAAAGCAUCAUGCAAAUGAUAAUA
rnacentral:lncRNA from 1 species